GUUGGGUAGGGGAGCGUUCUGUAAGCCUGCGAAGGUGGCCUGUGAGGGUUGCUGGAGGUAUCAGAAGUGCGAAUGCUGACAUAAGUAACGAUAAAGCGGGUGAAAAGCCCGCUCGCCGGAAGACCAAGGGUUCCUGUCCAACGUUAAUCGGGGCAGGGUGAGUCGACCCCUAAGGCGAGGCCGAAAGGCGUAGUCGAUGGGAAACGGGUUAAUAUUCCCGUACUUGGUGUUACUGCGAAGGGGGGACGGAGAAGGCUAUGUUGGCCGGGCGACGGUUGUCCCGGUUUAAGCGUGUAGGUGUGUGUUCCAGGUAAAUCCGGUUCACUUUAACACUGAGGCGUGACGACGAGGCACUACGGUGCUGAAGCAACAAAUGCCCUGCUUCCAGGAAAAGCCUCUAAGCAUCAGGUAACAUCAAAUCGUACCCCAAACCGACACAGGUGGUCAGGUAGAGAAUACCAAGGCGCUUGAGAGAACUCGGGUGAAGGAACUAGGCAAAAUGGUGCCGUAACUUCGGGAGAAGGCACGCUGACACGUAGGUGAAGUGAUUUACUCACGGAGCUGAAGUCAGUCGAAGAUACCAGCUGGCUGCAACUGUUUAUUAAAAACACAGCACUGUGCAAACACGAAAGUGGACGUAUACGGUGUGACGCCUGCCCGGUGCCGGAAGGUUAAUUGAUGGGGUCAGCGCAAGCGAAGCUCCUGAUCGAAGCCCCGGUAAACGGCGGCCGUAACUAUAACGGUCCUAAGGUAGCGAAAUUCCUUGUCGGGUAAGUUCCGACCUGCACGAAUGGCGUAAUGAUGGCCAGGCUGUCUCCACCCGAGACUCAGUGAAAUUGAACUCGCUGUGAAGAUGCAGUGUACCCGCGGCAAGACGGAAAGACCCCGUGAACCUUUACUAUAGCUUGACACUGAACAUUGAGCCUUGAUGUGUAGGAUAGGUGGGAGGCUUUGAAGCGUGGACGCCAGUCUGCGUGGAGCCGACCUUGAAAUACCACCCUUUAAUGUUUGAUGUUCUAACGUGGACCCGUAAUCCGGGUUGCGGACAGUGUCUGGUGGGUAGUUUGACUGGGGCGGUCUCCUCCUAAAGAGUAACGGAGGAGCACGAAGGUUGGCUAAUCCUGGUCGGACAUCAGGAGGUUAGUGCAAUGGCAUAAGCCAGCUUGACUGCGAGCGUGACGGCGCGAGCAGGUGCGAAAGCAGGUCAUAGUGAUCCGGUGGUUCUGAAUGGAAGGGCCAUCGCUCAACGGAUAAAAGGUACUCCGGGGAUAACAGGCUGAUACCGCCCAAGAGUUCAUAUCGACGGCGGUGUUUGGCACCUCGAUGUCGGCUCAUCACAUCCUGGGGCUGAAGUAGGUCCCAAGGGUAUGGCUGUUCGCCAUUUAAAGUGGUACGCGAGCUGGGUUUAGAACGUCGUGAGACAGUUCGGUCCCUAUCUGCCGUGGGCGCUGGAGAACUGAGGGGGGCUGCUCCUAGUACGAGAGGACCGGAGUGGACGCAUCACUGGUGUUCGGGUUGUCAUGCCAAUGGCACUGCCCGGUAGCUAAAUGCGGAAGAGAUAAGUGCUGAAAGCAUCUAAGCACGAAACUUGCCCCGAGAUGAGUUCU
rnacentral:rRNA from 1 species